UACAGAGGUGGCAAGCGUUGUUCGGAAUUACUGGGCGUAAAGGGCGCGUAGGCGGUCUUGUAAGUCUUGUGUGAAAUCCCUCGGCUCAACUGAGGAACUGCACGGGAUACUGCGAGACUUGAGUUCGGGAGAGGGAAGCGGAAUUCCGGGUGUAGCGGUGAAAUGCGUAGAUAUCCGGAGGAACACCGGUGGCGAAGGCGGCUUCCUGGACCGAUCACUGACGCUGAGGCGCGAAAGCGUGGGGAGCAAACAGG
rnacentral:rRNA from 1 species